GAUAAACGCUGGCGGCGUGCCUAACACAUGCAAGUCGAACGCCCUUUUGCGCAAGUGAGAGGGAGUGGCGGACGGGUGAGUACCACGUGGGUACCUACCUUGAGGUGAGGAAUACCACCGAGAAAUCGGUGACAAGACCGCAUACGCUUGGCAACAAGCAAAGUCUCGCAAGAGACGCCACAAGAUGGGCCUGCGCCUGAUUAGCUAGUUGGUGAGGUAAUGGCNCACCAAGGCGACGAUCAGUAGCUGGUCUGAGAGGAUGAUCAGCCACACUGGGAUUGAGAACGGCCCA
rnacentral:rRNA from 1 species